CCUACGGGGUGCAGCAGUGAGGAAUAUUGGUCAAUGGACGGAAGUCUGAACCAGCCAUGCCGCGUGAAGGAAGACGGCUCUAUGAGUUGUACACUGCUUUUGUACAAGGGUAAACCUGAAUACGUGUAUUCAGCUGAAAGUACUGUACGAAUAAGGAUCGGCUACCUCCGUGCCAGCAGCCGCGGUAAUACGGGGGAUCCAAGCGUUAUACGGAUUUGUUGGGUUUACAGGGUGCGUCGGGGGUUUGAUAGUUAGGGGUGAAAUGUCCGAGCUUACCGCGGGAACUGCCUCUAAUACUGUUGAUCUAGAGUGUAGAUGCGGUAGGCGGAAUGUAUGGUGUAGCGGUGAAAUGCUUAGAGAUCAUACAGAACACCGAUGGCGAAGGCAGCUUACUAAACUGCCACUGACGUUGAUGCUCGAAAGUGUGGGUAUCAAACAGGAUUAGAUACCCGGGUAGUC
rnacentral:rRNA from 1 species